AUACCUUUCUCGGCCUUUUGGCUAAGAUCAAGUGUAGUAUCUGUUCUUAUCAGUUUAAUAUCUGAUAUGUGGGCUAUACGCCCACAAUGAUAUUAAAUUUAUUUUUUGUGCGGAAGGGCCCAUCACACUAGCUUGCUAGUGGGGCCUUUAGGUGUCGCCCGGGCGUUGCACUACUGCCCAGGCUAGGCGUACCCCAA
rnacentral:snRNA from 1 species